AUAGCGGCGGACGGGUGAGUAACACGUGGAUAACCUACCUAUAAGACUGGGAUAACUUCGGGAAACCGGAGCUAAUACCGGAUAAUAUUUUGAACCGCAUGGUUCAAAAGUGAAAGACGGUCUUGCUGUCACUUAUAGAUGGAUCCGCGCUGCAUUAGCUAGUUGGUAAGGUAACGGCUUACCAAGGCAACGAUGCAUAGCCGACCUGAGAGGGUGAUCGGCCACACUGGAACUGAGACACGGUCCAGACUCCUACGGGAGGCAGCAGUAGGGAAUCUUCCGCAAUGGGCGAAAGCCUGACGGAGCAACGCCGCGUGAGUGAUGAAGGUCUUCGGAUCGUAAAACUCUGUUAUUAGGGAAGAACAUAUGUGUAAGUAACUGUGCACAUCUUGACGGUACCUAAUCAGAAAGCCACGGCUAACUACGUGCCAGCAGCCGCGGUAAUACGUAGGUGGCAAGCGUUAUCCGGAAUUAUUGGGCGUAAAGCGCGCGUAGGCGGUUUUUUAAGUCUGAUGUGAAAGCCCACGGCUCAACCGUGGAGGGUCAUUGGGAACUGGAAAACUUGAGUGCAGAAGAGGAAAGUGGAAUUCCAUGUGUAGCGGUGAAAUGCGCAGAGAUAUGGAGGAUCACCAGUGGCGAAGGCGACUUUCUG
rnacentral:rRNA from 1 species